GUCGCACAACUCCGUGACACCAAGGUUAUCUUUUUCAGUACCGUCCAUACAGGGAAUUACAAUUCAAAAAAGGAAAUUAAUGAGCCAGAAUAAAUCAUUUUAAUAUUUCUCUAACUGAAAUAUCCUUUAAAUGCAUUAUAAGGUUAGAAAACUCUGUCAUGUUAAAGACAUGAUCAGAUUGAGACGCCACCUUCUCCAGAUGGAAACGUCCCUCAGAACGGCCGUGGCUCUCUGGCAACGAAUCUCACCGCCGUUCGCCCUUGCCGGUGUUGCCGAGCAGCAGACCUUCACAGACCAGCUCUCCUGCUCCCUGACGGACAGAUGGGGGGGGGGCGGGGGGGUCAGAAAUGCGAUUUGUUGUAGAUGCUUUCUGCGGCACAGCUGGCUGCUAAUUGGGAGUGGGCAUUGGCAGGCACAGCGCAGCCCAGAGCCACCCCCGGCCUUCUCCAUCCCCCUCUCUACCCCGCAGUCAGAACGCGGCGCCAGGAAUCCUCGCAUUCGGGGAUCACGGAGGAGGGCUCCAUAGCAGCUGUGCCGUAUCGAUUAUUUUGAGGAAUGUUUUAAAUACACAUAAAUGUUCCCUCGCGCAGUAUCGCGAACACACAAGCGCUUACAUGCUGUAUGAUAUUUUAUCUUUUGACGCUUUUUUCUUUUGUUCAAUUCAAUCAUUGUUUUUGCUAGUUUUUUAACAGUGAUACAUCAAAAGUGCUUUAUUAUUAUUAUUAAUACAUUAGACAGUACAUCUAAAAUAAUCAUCAAGGUCUAUUUAGAAUGCAAGCCAUUAUUAUUUCAUCAAUGCUAAAUUUUAAGAAUAGAACCACUUUAUAACCGUGAAAUAUUACCUCUUUUUUGUUUUUUUUUCCUCCGGCAGUAAGUCAUAUUUUAAGAGCUAAGAGGUUGUGUGAGAGAGCGCUGUUAUCUUGAGAGGAAAAACAGGGGCUUCGCACACCCAAUUAUUCCCCUGUAAGUGGACAAGGAGAUGUUGACACCUCCCUCGUGCUUUCGCACCUCCUCUUGGAGGGGCUCCAGGUGCGACUGGACAAGGGCCACGGUGGCGAGGAGCACCUGCGCUAAUUGGCUCGCGCGGCUCGGGGACGAGGGCCGAGCGGGGAGGCCCGCGCGCAC